ensembl:lncRNA
GAGCCUAAUUUUGUUAAAAACAGAAGGCACUAAUGAGGCAUUAAAUAAUCAACAUUUUGCAAGAAUCAGUCAUUCCAAAGCAAGUGCACAUCUUUACUUUCUAGAUCCUAUGAGAUCACUAAACUCCAUGAUGUCAGAGAUAGUUUAUCAAUGAAUGUCCCAGACCCAGCAUGUUAUCAGAUGUCAUUGUGUGUGAUGUCAAGGAUGAGAGAGAAGUGAUAAUAAUUGUGAUUUGCAUUCCUUUUGCAUUCUGUUUCCUGUCUAAUCCUAGAUUAGACUCUGUACCCUCUUCUCUGCAAGUAAGCAUUGGCGGGCAUCUGUAUCUGUGUAGAGCUAGAAGAGAUACCUGGGAAUUAAUGGUAUGUCUGCCUAUGAUGAUUUUGUAUUUCUUUUAAGAGAUGGAGCACUAUUUAAGAGAAGCACACUAUUUUGACACUAAGUAGUGCAUUGUAACACAAUUCUAACACUAUCCACUAGGAAUUAAUGCAGACCUUGUAAAUUAAAAGACAUAGUCUCCAAUGAGACUGACCUCACUGCAGAUGCCAAAGCUGUACUUGGGUGUCUCUAAGCGACCUGCACUUUUGACCAAGUGGUUAUAAAUACUAGCGUUUCCAUAGCUUCCUCUGGUUCGAUAGUUAACUAGAAAGACAGAACUCAGUUAUGGUUACAGUUUUAUGAUAAAGGAUACAAACCAGGACCAGCCAAUGAAAAGAUAUAUAAGGUGAUAUCUGAGGGGGUUUCAAGUACAGAGCUUCCAUACCUCUCUGUGGAAUCAGGGCACAUCACUCUCAUGGUUCAUUCAUGUGUUUACCAACCAGGAGGCUCCAGUGAGCUUCAGUGUCCAGAGUUUUUAAUGGAGUUUACUUAUGUUGGCAUGCAUAAUUGAAUCACAUACCGCAUGAUUAAACUCCAGCCCACCUCCUCUCCAUGGAAGCUGAGCUGGUAAAGACCCAACCUUUUAUUCACAUGCUUAGUCUUUUGGGAGGCCAGACCUCAUCCUGGGACAUCCGAUUAGCAUAAACUCAUUGUGAUUCAAGGAGCUACUGAAUAACAAAAACAUUCAUAUUGGCAAAUUCCAAGAAUUUAGUUUCCUUCCCAAGAACCGGGACAAAGGCCAGUCAAAUUCUGUAUUAUACAACAUAAAUUAAAACAAAAUGAAUAGGAUAAUGAAGGUUAGAAGAGAGGCAUGAGGUAACAUGGAGCUAAAUAGGAUAGGAUAUACAAAUUGUUUCUAUAUACUCUAGGAGGGCUUCAAAUGAAAGGCCAAUAUGUUUUCUAUAAUUUUUGUGUACACAUUUAUACUUCACUCUAUCUAAUCAAGAUCUAUCAUUUUCUUUUUUUUUUAAAUGUUUAUUUAUUUUGGGAGAAAGAGAGACAGGGAAAAGAGAGGGACAGAGAGAGAUGGGGGAAGAAAGAGAAUCCCAAGCCGACUUCACAUUGUCAGUGGACAGCUUAACAUGGGGCUCAAACUCACGAACCCUAAGAUCCGGACAUGAGCCAAAAUCAAGAGUCAGAUGCUUAACUCACUGAGUCACCAGGCACCCUAAGAUCUAUCAUUUUCAAUUGAAAUAAAAUUUGGUCAGGGCAUCUGGGUGGUUCA